AGCCUCGUGGUGGAGUACACAUCAGAUUGCAAAUCUGGAGACGCAGGCUAAUUGCCUGCCGGGGCUU
rnacentral:tRNA from 1 species